rnacentral:rRNA from 1 species
UACGAAGGGGGCUAGCGUUGUUCGGAAUUACUGGGCGUAAAGGGCGCGUAGGCGGCCAUUCAAGUUAGGUGUGAAAGCCCUGGGCUCAACCUAGGAAUUGCACUUGAUACUGUUGGCUUGAGUUCGGGAGAGGUGAGUGGAAUUCCCAGUGUAGAGGUGAAAUUCGUAGAUAUUGGGAAGAACACCAGUGGCGAAGGCGGCUCACUGGACCGACACUGACGCUGAGGCACGAAAGCGUGGGGAGCAAACAGG